UGGGGAAUUUUGGACAAUGGGGGAAACCCUGAUCCAGCCAUCCCGCGUGUGCGAUGAAGGCCUUCGGGUUGUAAAGCACUUUUGGCAGGAAAGAAACGUCAUGGGUUAAUACCCCGUGAAACUGACGGUACCUGCAGAAUAAGCACCGGCUAACUACGUGCCAGCAGCCGCGGUAAUACGUAGGGUGCAAGCGUGAAUCGGAAUUACUGGGCGUAAAGCGUGCGCAGGCGGUUCGGAAAGAAAGAUGUGAAAUCCCAGAGCUCAACUUUGGAACUGCAUUUUUAACUACCGGGCUAGAGUGUGUCAGAGGGAGGUGGAAUUCCGCGUGUAGCAGUGAAAUGCGUAGAUAUGCGGAGGAACACCGAUGGCGAAGGCAGCCUCCUGGGAUAACACUGACGCUCAUGCACGAAAGCGUGGGGAGCAAACAGG
rnacentral:rRNA from 1 species